CCUAGGUCAGAACUCAGUCCCAGCUGCUCACUGUCUAGUCUUCUGGGGAAGCAGAUAAUUCUUCUGGGGACACGACACAUCAGGUGUUAAGGAUGUCAUUCUUCUUUUUUAAACAAAUGUUAGAUCAUGUAACGUGCUUCUCAGGACAGGAGGAGCCGCCUCAAGGGAAGGCAGAUCUUCUCCAGGAACUGAUGGUCAUCCAGGGAGAGCAGAGUCAAGGACUGCAGAGUGCCAGCCAGCUCCCGCUCUCCCUCUCAGGCUCCACAUACUGGGCUCAAAACGUCUGGUCCAGUGGUUAAAAGCUGUUCACAGGGGUGACUGGACCCCACUAAGCAUUCUUUCGUCUGUACUGAAUAUUUCACCAAAAACAGCUCUAGGAAAGGCUGGAGGAUCAGUACUAUGUGCUCAAGCCAUGGCCACGCCCUCCAUCUUCCACCUGACUGAGACGUGGGGGCUGAAGGCCACAGCCACCCCAGGAGAAAGGACAUCAGGAAGGCCACCGGGGGCCUGAGGAACAUGCGCGUGAAGCAGAUGGGAAAGGAGCUGCAGGUUCAUUGUGGUCCUUGAGGGAAAAGCUGAGGGCCCAGCCGUGGUCCCGCAAGUGGAAGUAACCGGCUCUGCAGGGUGAACACGCACCCAGUGCCGCCCAGGAAGCUGCCAGUCAGGAUUGGGCGCAGUCUCUGGAAGGAACUCCAGGAGACAGUGUGGCCUCCACAGUAUUAGGCAGCCAAGGAGAUGCAAACACGUCUGCUGUAGAUGCUGGCGAUGAGACCCCCUCUUCCCAGCCAGGGCCUGCUGGGUAAGAGUGGCAUUUCCGUGAAUGACUUUAUCCCUCAGGAUCGGGGCAUGCAGAUUUACUGGCUGGCUUCCUUCUUACAGUUUCUUCUCAGAGCACACUCAAGAGAGGCCAUCUGUCCCUUGAGAGGCUGUUGACCAAAAGAGGCUGAAGAAGGAUGUGGAGCCCAGCUGCAGCGGGACCAGCCUGGGGCCUGAUGAGAGCUUGGCCCAGAACCCCCAAGUUCAUCAUUCACAAUGAUGCCUCAGAAACCCUCCCAGAGCCCCUCCACCCUCCGACGGAUGUCACCCUGAAGCCAGCCGCAGAAGCUGUGCGGGGCGAGCACAGCGACACCAGCCCUCUGUCCCUCAGCUGAGUCAUCCUGUCAGCACUGGGGGCCCAAGAUCUCCUCGACUGCUGCACUUCUACUGCUUCUGCUCCCUGGGGAACAGGAGCACGGGUGCCGCCUGCGGGAGCAGGUGGAGAAGAACGGCCAGCUGAAGAGGGGCAGCCGCCGACAGCCAGGUGCACAAGCUGCAGGAGGAGCUGGACGAGCUGAAGGGAGGGGCUCCCUGCUUUAGCAGCCUGCUGCCCCCCGCCGAGAUUCUGUACAACAGAACAGCCGGGCCAGUGGCCAGCAAGUUCCAGAGUUUGAGAGGUUUGCCCUCCAGAAAGCCGGUGGUGAUUGGCCUUCUCACAGGACGUGGUACACUGUCCCUGAGCCCGCUCUAACUCGCCAGUUGCAGAGCUCCAGCCAGCAGCAGAAGCAGAGCAGUGGGCAGUGGUGGAGGUAGAGCUGGCUCCAGCUUCCUUGACACCACCCUCUCUAGCACUGGAGCCAGUGUCCCCUCCACCAGCAGUGUUGGAGCUGGAGCAAGGGCCGACAUCGGCUGCAGCAGGAGUGGGAGCUGCUGAGCUGGAGUCACCUGGACCAUCAUUUCUAGUGGGAAGUCCAUCUCCACCUGUGGCUAAGAAGCAUGAGAAGAAGCCCAACCUACGGCCUUCCCUCCUAAGCUGGUGGUGGAGCAGUUGACCGUGAUGGAUGCGGAGUGCGAGAUCCUGAAGAACUUCUCCUCGCCCCGCACUGUCAUCUCUUCUCUGCAGAAAACAUCCAUAUGCCACCUGAAGAACACAUGGAGGAAGUUUCCUGGGAGAGCUCUGAAAAAUUUAAAGAGAGCUAUAGCCAAGACGAGUCCUUGAACAGAGAACUGAUGACCAAGGUUAACAAGCAGAGGGAUCUGUUCUGCCCAUGGGCAGGUGGGGUGCCAUUUUUGGGCAGGAGGCCUUGGUCAUGGGACACAGUGGUGUUGGCUGGGCUGUUCCAGGACGAGUUGCCGAGCUGGCGCCAUCAGCAGGUCAAACACCAAGGGUAGAGGUCAUCAAAAGAUCAAGUCUAAUCUACCUACGGGUGUGGCAGCCUUAACUAUGGAUGUUCAAGCCAGACAUUGCCAGAAGAACUACAUCUCUUCACCCAUAGAAGAUGCAACCUACAGCUGAAGAGAAACAGAUACAACACCAAUAUCUUAUCCUCUCUGAAGCCAAACUGAGAGCCCCUGGAGUCAGAAGUUUCCAAGAAAAGAAAAAGUCAUCCAUCUUCGGAAGAGAGACAGUAGAGCACGGACUGUAGGAGAAAGCCCAGAGGAGCAAUGAAGACAGAGAAGACAUGACACCUGCAAAAAGUCAGUGGAGUAUUUCUACGUAACAAACCUUCCAGGCUGCCAUGAUCCUCCCUUUGGACUCCAUGGUCAGGGUCAUUGAAGAGAUCCUCCCUUUGGACCCCGCCUGCCUGAAGGGCCUAUACCUUGGUCAGGCAUCUUAGAAGGACUGCUGUGAGCCAUGUCAUAAAAAGGAGAAAACAUCACAGUGGACAGCCCCAAUUCCUGCAUAUACAGAUGGGAAAAUUAGGUGCACUGGUAAGUGACUCCUAAGCCGCUUCAGGGGACCACACGCAAGCCCCUUCUCCGACGCUGCACACAGGCCUUGUUCACUGGACUUCCUUGGCCUCAUUAACACAGGCAACAGCACUGAAACUUCCCGUUGUUCCUUCCCACAAUGUCAGGGAAGUUUGUGUAGGAAGGUAAUAUGCAAUUUCUGCUCUACUAUAGGGCUGGCUCCUUGGGAACCAGUUUUAAUAUCUCUUUUUAAAUAUAUCCACAGAAUCACAAAAUAAUUAAACAAAAUAAUUUGUUGCUCUUGGGGGUUAUAGCGAUAAUUCUCUUGAGUCGUUUUUCCAUUUAGCUUCUCUGAUUGACUCCAAAUACUACAGCACCACACCCUUCUAGACUGGUGGAUGUGCAGCUCCACUUCUUUGCAAGGAGGACACGCAAUAGCAGAAUAUCCAUGGCCCAACUUUCUGGAGCAUCAGUAUUACUACAAGAUUUGGAAGAAGCUAAGUUAGGUCAUUUCCAGGGUAAGGAAUUAAAAACUUAA